CAGUCGCCGCGGUAAUACAGAGGGUGCAAGCGUUAAUCGGAAUUACUGGGCGUAAAGCGCGCGUAGGUGGUUUGUUAAGUUGAAUGUGAAAGCCCCGGGCUCAACCUGGGAACUGCAUCCAAAACUGGCAAGCUAGAGUACGGUAGAGGGUGGUGGAAUUUCCUGUGUAGCGGUGAAAUGCGUAGAUAUAGGAAGGAACACCAGUGGCGAAGGCGACCACCUGGACUGAUACUGACACUGAGGUGCGAAAGCGUGGGGAGCAAACAGGAUUAGAUACCCCCGUAGUCCCUGUCUCUUAUAC
rnacentral:rRNA from 1 species